UACGUAGGGUGCAGGCGUUAAUCGGAAUUACUGGGCGUAAAGCGUGCGCAGGCGGUUUCUUAAGUCAGAUGUGAAAGCCCCGGGCUUAACCUGGGAACUGCGUUUGAAACUGGGAGACUUGAGUGUGGCAGAGGGGGGUGGAAUUCCACGUGUAGCAGUGAAAUGCGUAGAUAUGUGGAGGAACACCGAUGGCGAAGGCAGCCCCCUGGGUUGACACUGACGCUCAGGCACGAAAGCGUGGGGAGCAAACAGG
rnacentral:rRNA from 1 species